GAUGAAGAACGCAGCGAAAUGCGAUAAGUAAUGUGAAUUGCAGAAUUCAGUGAAUCAUCGAAUCUUUGAACGCACAUUGCGCCCGCCAGCAUUCUGGCGGGCAUGCCUGUCCGAGCGUCAUUUCAACCCUCAGGGUCCCUCCGCCUCGCGCGGUCGGAGCCUGGUGUUGGGGAUCGGCCCGCCCCGCGCGGCGCCGUCCCCCAAAUACAGUGGCGGUCCCGCCGCAGCCUCCCCUGCGCAGUAGUUAUCAACUCGCACUGGAGCGCGGCGCGGCCACGCCGUAAAACCCCCGACUUUCUGAACGUUGACCUCGGAUCAGGUAGGAAUACCCGCUGAACUUAAGCAUAUCAAUAAGCGGAGGA
rnacentral:misc_RNA from 1 species